rnacentral:rRNA from 1 species
UAAUACAGAGGGUGCGAGCGUUAAUCGGAGUUACUGGGCGUAAAGGGCACGUAGGCGGUUAUGUAAGUCAGUUGUGAAAUCCCCGGGCUUAACCUGGGAACUGCAAUUGAAACUGUGUGACUAGAGUCGAAGAGAGGGAAGCGGAAUUUCCGGUGUAGCGGUGAAAUGCGUAGAUAUCGGAAGGAACACCCGUGGCGAAGGCGGCUUCCUGGCUUCAGACUGACGCUGAGGUGCGAAAGCGUGGGUAGCGAACAGG